rnacentral:rRNA from 1 species
UACAGAGGUCUCAAGCGUUGUUCGGAAUUACUGGGCGUAAAGCGUGCGCAGGCGGUGAUGUAAGACAGAUGUGAAAUCCCCGGGCUCAACCUGGGACCUGCAUUUGUGACUGCAUCGCUAGAGUACGGUAGAGGGGGAUGGAAUUCCGCGUGUAGCAGUGAAAUGCGUAGAUAUGCGGAGGAACACCGAUGGCGAAGGCAAUCCCCUGGACCUGUACUGACGCUCAUGCACGAAAGCGUGGGGAGCAAACAGG